rnacentral:rRNA from 1 species
UACAGAGGGGGCAAGCGUUAUUCGGAAUUAUUGGGCGUAAAGGGCGCGUAGGCGGCUUGGCAAGUGGAAGGUGAAAUCCCUCGGCUUAACCGAGGAACUGCCCUCCAAACUGCUUGGCUUGAGUCCGGGAGAGGUGAGUGGAAUUCCCAGUGUAGCGGUGAAAUGCGUAGAUAUUGGGAGGAACACCAGUGGCGAAGGCGGCUCACUGGACCGGAACUGACGCUGAGGUGCGAAAGCGUGGGGAGCAAACAGG